UACGGGGGGGGCUAGCGUUGUUCGGAAUUACUGGGCGUAAAGGGCGCGUAGGCGGUCUGCUAAGUUGGAUGUGAAAACUCUGGGCUUAACCCAGAGCCUGCAUUCAAUACUGACAGGCUAGAGUUCUGGAGGGGAUAGCGGAAUUCCUGGUGUAGCGGUGAAAUGCGUAGAUAUCAGGAGGAACACCAACGGCGAAGGCAGCUCUCUGGGACGUUACUGACGCUGAGACGCGAAAGCGUGGGGAGCGAACAGG
rnacentral:rRNA from 1 species